UACGAAGGGGGCUAGCGUUGCUCGGAAUGACUGGGCGUAAAGGCGCGUAGGCGGCUCAUACAGUCAGAUGUGAAAUUCCUGGGCUUAACCUGGGGGCUGCAUUUGAUACGUGUGGGCUUGAGUGGGGAAGAGGGUCGUGGAAUUCCCAGUGUAGAGGUGAAAUUCGUAGAUAUUGGGAAGAACACCGGUGGCGAAGGCGGCGACCUGGUCCUUGACUGACGCUGAGGCGCGAAAGCGUGGGGAGCAAACAGG
rnacentral:rRNA from 1 species